rnacentral:lncRNA from 1 species
GGAAUCUGCUGCUUCCAAAUCCAGAUUAUCGAGGAUUUUCUGCUGGUGGAGGAUGCGCUUCUUCUGGAAGAGAUGGCUGAGGAGGAUGAGGAGCUCGACCUGUACAACGAGAUGACUUUUGGGUUAGACCGAGACUCCACAGAGGAGGAUGUCCCAAAACGUGUGGUACCGGAGAUAAGCCCUGAGGUGGCCAAAGCACUGGUAGAGGCAAGUGGAAGAGCAGCUGAGGAGCUGGCUGAGGAGGAAAGUGGGAUGGAGCCAGAGAUGGAGCAGGUUAACUCUCAGUUGGAGGAAGAGAUAGAGGAGCUGGGGACUGAGGAACAGGAGGAAGAUCAGGAGUGCUUUGAGGAGCCCAGUGAACUUGGAGACCCAGCAGUGAUGAGAGCUGUGCGGAGCAAACCCACACUGGAGAGCCAGGACUCAGCAGUGCUGGACAGCGGGAUUGGGACUUGCUGGGAAGAGUUUGGCAAGGAGGACACGGUAAAAAUGUCCCCACCCAUCUGGUGA